GUCGAGGGGCAGCAUGGUCUUAGCUUGCUAAGGCUGAUGGCGACCGGCGCACGGGUGAGUAACACGUAUCCAACCUGCCGUCUACUCUUGGCCAGCCUUCUGAAAGGAAGAUUAAUCCAGGAUGGGAUCAUGAGUUCACAUGUCCGCAUGAUUAAAGGUAUUUUCCGGUAGACGAUGGGGAUGCGUUCCAUUAGAUAGUAGGCGGGGUAACGGCCCACCUAGUCAACGAUGGAUAGGGGUUCUGAGAGGAAGGUCCCCCACAUUGGAACUGAGACACGGUCCAAACUCCUACGGGAGGCAGCAGUGAGGAAUAUUGGUCAAUGGGCGAUGGCCUGAACCAGCCAAGUAGCGUGAAGGAUGACUGCCCUAUGGGUUGUAAACUUCUUUUAUAAAGGAAUAAAGUCGGGUAUGCAUACCCGUUUGCAUGUACUUUAUGAAUAAGGAUCGGCUAACUCCGUGCCAGCAGCCGCGGUAAUACGGAGGAUCCGAGCGUUAUCCGGAUUUAUUGGGUUUAAAGGGAGCGUAGAUGGAUGUUUAAGUCAGUUGUGAAAGUUUGCGGCUCAACCGUAAAAUUGCAGUUGAUACUGGAUGUCUUGAGUGCAGUUGAGGCAGGCGGAAUUCGUGGUGUAGCGGUGAAAUGCUUAGAUAUCACGAAGAACUCCGAUUGCGAAGGCAGCCUGCUA
rnacentral:rRNA from 1 species